GAUGAACGCUGGCGGCGUGCCUAAUACAUGCAAGUCGAGCGAACAGAUAAGGAGCUUGCUCCUUUGACGUUAGCGGCGGACGGGUGAGUAACACGUGGGUAACCGACCUAUAAGACUGGGAUAACUUCGGGAAACCGGAGCUAAUACCGGAUAAUAUUUCGAACCGCAUGGUUCGAUAGUGAAAGAUGGUUUUGCUAUCACUUAUAGAUGGACCCGCGCCGUAUUAGCUAGUUGGUAAGGUAACGGCUUACCAAGGCGACGAUACGUAGCCGACCUGAGAGGGUGAUCGGCCACACUGGAACUGAGACACGGUCCAGACUCCUACGGGAGGCAGCAGUAGGGAAUCUUCCGCAAUGGGCGAAAGCCUGACGGAGCAACGCCGCGUGAGUGAUGAAGGUCUUCGGAUCGUAAAACUCUGUUAUUAGGGAAGAACAUACGUGUAAGUAACUGUGCACGUCUUGACGGUACCUAAUCAGAAAGCCACGGCUAACUACGUG
rnacentral:rRNA from 1 species